CUUGCUGGGGUCCUCUGGGUAAAGACUGCUGGGAUCUGCCUACACCCCUUUCCCUAGUGUGGACAAGGGGAUCCCUUUUGGUGCCGAGCUGCGUAAGACUGGAUGAGGGAUGAUGCACGUAAAAUGCUUCCUGUCCUUGUCAGUGCAGCCAUCAUCAGUUUAUGUGUUCCACUAGUUUGCUGCAACUGCAUUGUACCCUGGAGCUCUCCCAGAGCUGUUCUCAGUGGUGGGUGGUUGUUUAAUCAUUGCUGCUACGGGGCCGAGAGUGGGAACCUCCUACUCGGCCAUCUUGCUGGUGUUGCCCUCUGUGAAAUCAUGUUGUGAAUAAAGCCAUAACAGUGUUUGUUUGUCUGUUUGUUUUCUAAUUAAUUCUGGCUUUUUUUUACUGUAUCUGAUUGUUCUUGAUUUUAUCUGUAUUUUAACUUGAAGUUUUUCAAACCUAAUCAAGUCAAAUAAAGCGAAGAUUUGUUCUUUUAAAAAAUAAAAAUCAUGCAAUGAUUUCAUAUUCCAAACUGCACUGGGAACUGCCCCUUAUAGUCUCAUUCAACUCCAUUCCAGCUGUGUGGCAGCCAGAUCGCUUAGGGGUAGGACUGACCUCACCCUCAGCUCAAAGACUGGCCCCAGCCAACUUAAGUCCAUCUACAUUAACCUGUCUCCCAUGCCAUAAUGAUUGUGUCAGGGAUAAAUCAACACAUGGCACUCCCUGCACCAUAGUAAUACAAUACAGGAGUAGGCAGUCCAUAAAUGGGGCAAGUCUAGGACAGAACAGGAAUUUUCUUUCCUAUGUGCAAGAGGAUGACAAGCUCUCUAUUCUAACUCACAUUGUUUACGAACUUGAGACCUAGAAUCACUGCAUCAAUUUUCUUACCUAGAAAAGCCAGCCUGAGGAAAGCCAACACAUGAAAAAGGCAAGAGAACGUGGAAAGGAACCGAGUCAAAGUCCUGAGAGAGUCAUACGAGGAACCCCGGAUGUUUCUGCACUUUUCAGAUUCUUGAGCUAAUAAAUUCCAUUUGUUGUUUAAGCCAGUUUGAGUUGGAUUUUCUUCCUCAUAACCAAAAAUAACCUACUUGAUACACCAGAAAAGUAAAGUUCACACUCAAAAUCUGGCACAUAUCCACCUCUCUGAUAACUAACCCAUUAUUGUUUCUCCAUAUACAUUACAUUCUUCAGCCUUAGCACUCCCAAAGGAACUUUCUGCAACGAUGGAGAUGUUUUCCGCGUGUGUCGUCCAAUACAGUAGCCACUAGUACGCAACUUCUAAACACCUGAAACGUGAGCGAGGCUGAAGAACUGAAUUUUUAAUUAAAUUAACUUUAAUUUAAUUGGCCACAUACGUGUAGUGGCUACCAUAUUGGACAGCAGAACUCUAGCCUAAUGAAUCUUCCUUGAGUGUCGCCAGUCUUUGCUGUGCGUACUUUGUCCCUUCCGUCUGAAGCGCCUUACUGUCUCCUGUCCCAAAGCUGAAAGACAGCCAUCCUUAGAAGUCAAGUUCGAAUGCCUCCUGUUCUAUGAGGACUUCUUUUUGUAAUUACACUCCCCAGAACUGUGAACUUCCCCAAUGCUUUACUUCUAUUUUGCUAUUUCCUGGCGUUUUAGAAUUAAGUUUUUAUAAAAAUAAAUUACAUCAGUAAGUAUUUGUUUUAAGAAACAGACAAGUGUGGCCACUAUGGGUAAAUGUUAAGAGUGUCUUUGAUAUUCCUGGAAUCAGAAAAAACUAUGAGUAUCUGUCCCUAAGAAAUAUUCUGCCUAGCCACGCUGUCAAAAAAGAAACAAUAAAAGGUAUCUAUCACUUUUUUUGACAUGUUCUUGUCUCUGCGCCAGAGGCCGUGCUGUUCGGCUUCUAUGCGUCACCGCCCUGAGUCCCUUGACAAGCCCGGCAGCUGGUAUGAUCACCUCGAUUUUACAGAUAAGAAAGCUGAAGUUCAGAGACCUUAAAUACUUGGCCAAGGCCGCCCUGGCAAAGCGGCAUCGGGCCCGGUUCUGCAGCGGCCCCUGUGCCGCGCUAUGGGCGGGGAGCUGCGGGCGUGCGGCCAGGCUGGGGGCGCGCUGGGGCGGGAACCCCGAGAACGAGGACGGCCCCGAUUUCGCCCUCCCGGUGCCUCCCUACAGAGACGUAGGUUCCACGGGAUGCUCGCGGCAGGAGCUGCGGCAGGACUAGUAAGAGAGGCGUGAUUUCUGCCUUCUUUUCUGUAUUUCAAGAUAACUCGGGAUAGCUGUUGAUAGCAGCUGUUCACAGCUCAGCCAUAAACAGCCUGGUGCAGAAUAAAGGAUAAGGGCCAGAUUAACUCGAGCCCUAGACAUACACAACAGAGGCCCCCCGCCAUGCACGUAAUGCCUCGGAACCUGGGCCCGGCCCACACCUCAGCCAAACAGCUUGGUCGCAAAGACAGAGGGAACGUAAAAACAGCCGGAGAAACAGCCCCUGUAGUCAUCACAGAACGCCAACAGAGGCUAGGAGGCAUCUGGUCAUUUUCCCAUUCAACGUUCUCACUGGAAAAAUGGAGAAACAUGGGCCCAGGAAGGAGAAAAAUAAGUGCUCAUGGUCGCCCAGCGGUUCAGUGGCGGAGCCGGGGGACAGCUGCAGGUCGCCGACCCCCCUGCGUCCUGGACACUCCGACUGCCACCGCCAUCCACAAGGCAACUAUAAAUACUUUUUCUCUCCCUUUGUGAGGUAUGAUUUACAUGUAGUAGACUAUUAAGGUAUAACUUACAUACGGUUCAAAUUUACCUUUUUUUUAAUAUGAAGUUCUGUUGAGUUUUGGAAAACAGGAAAUUUUGUAACCACAACCAUACUCAUGACAUAAAAUGCCCACCAUCCUGAAAAAUCUCCCCAUGCCCAUUUAUAGUGAGCUCUUCCCUCCCUGCCCAACACGUGGCAAGCGCAGAUCUGUUCCCUGCCGUUUUGCCCUUUUCAGAGUGUCGGGUACAUGAAAUAAGAAUUCUGUGAUGUGCAGGACCUGGCGCUCGGCCCCUUUCACCCAGAAUAAUGCCUUUAAAUCACCCAGUAGUUCGUUGAAAUCCGUCGGUAGUGCGUCCCCCUUCCCGCUGAGUAGUAUUCCUUUUUGUGGACAUGCCACUGUUUGUUUAUCCACUCACCAGCUAGGGGAAAUUGGAUUAUUUCCAGUUUGGGGCUAUUACCAAUAAAGCCACUAUAAACAUUCAUGUAUAUUAUUUGUGUAAACGAAAGCAUUUGUUUGAGUAGUGGAAUUAUUCUGUCUAGUAGUGGGAUUGCUGGGUCAUAUGGUAAGGUCUAUAACUUAAUAAAAAACUGUCAAACAUUCCUGCCGGCAAUCUAGGAGGAAUUUAUUUUCCUUCCAGCAAGCUGUGAGAGUUGCAGUUACUCUGUAUAUUCUCUACCACCUCCUAUUUUUUGUUCUUUAAUUUUAGGUAUUCUGAUAGGUGGGUAGUGAAGGCUCACUAUGGUUUUAAUUUGCCUUUCUCUGACGACAGUGGUGCAGAGUAUCUUUCUGUGUGUUUAUUUGUCAUCCACAUAUCUACUUUGAUGACACAUCUGUUCAAAUCUUUUGACUCUCUUUUUCAUCAGAUAAUUUUCCUAUUACUUAGUUGUAAGAAUAAUUUAUGUAUUCCGGCUAGACGUCCUUUAACAGAUACAUGAGUUUUCUCCUAGUCUGUGGUUUGUCUUUGCUUUUUCUUAAUAGCGUCUUUUUGUGUGUAUGGAUCAUGUCUGUGGUGUUGUAUCUAAGAAACCUUUGUCUAGCCCAAGGACAUCAAGAUUUUCCUCUAUUUUUUUUAGAAAUUUUGGAGUUUAAUGAAAACACUCAACAGACUGUACAGGCAAAUAAUACUUAAUAAUGAUAGUUUUCUACCUUUUAAAAAAAUAAAUUUUAGAGUUCAAGGUUUACAUGUAGAUCUGUGAUGCAUUUUGCAUUAAUUUUUAUACAUCAUACAAGGUACAGAUGGAAAUUUAUUUAUCUUUCCUUUUCUGCAUCUGGAAGUCUGAUUGUUUCAGCACAAUACAUUGCAAAGACUAUCAUUUCUCCCCUGGAUGACCUUUCCACCUUUACUGAAAAUCAGGUGACCAUCUAAGUGUGAGUAUAUUCUAGACUAUAUUCUAUUUCAUCAAUAUGCCUAUCCUUUAUCCAAUACCCUACAUCCAUGAACACAAUCUCUUAAUUUGUUUUGGUCAUUUAAAAAAUUUGUCAACAAAUUGUAUAGUUAUCAACACAUGUAACAUACACAUAUUUUGUUAGAUUUACCUAAGUAUCUUGUGGGUUUUUUGGCGCUCUUGAAAAUGGUAUAUUCAAUUUCAAUUUCCAUUUGUUCUUUUUAAGUACAGACACUUGUAAUUGAUUUUUGUAUGUUAACCAUGUGUCCUGCAACCUUGUUAAAUGCACUUACCAGCUCUAGUCACAUUUUCUAGAUUAUUUGGGAUUUAUGUAUGUAUUUAUGUAUUAUUUAUGUAUUAUUUGAGAACUAUGUAGACAGUUGUCUUCUGUGAAUAGAAACAGCUGUUUUUCUUCAAUCCCAAUCAGUAUGCCUUUUAAUUAUUUUUUUCUUGUUUCACUGUACUGAUAAGGAACUCCAGUGCAGUAUCAGAAGGUAGUAGUGCCUUGUUCCUGAUCUUAGGGCAAAAGCAUCCAUCCAUCUUUCAACAUUAAAGAUGAUGAUAGCUGUGGAUGCUUUAUAGAUACUCUUUAUCAAGUUCAGGAGUUUCCCUUGUAUUUCUAGUUUGCUGAGAGGUAUAUGCAUAUAAUGAAUAUUGAAUUUUGUUAAAUGAUUUUCUGUAUAUAUUGAGAUGAUUAUAUGGUUUUUCUUCUUUAAUCUAGCCAUAUGGUAAUUGUAUAUAUCUAUUUAAAAAUAUUGAACAAGCUUUGCAUUGGAAGUAUAAAUCUUGCUUACUUGAUUUGCUUGCUCUUUCUUUAGAGUUUUUAUGUUUAUGUUUCUUAGUAAUACUGAUUUGUAAUUUUCUCAUUCCUGAUUGUUUUUCUGAUUUUGGUGGCAGGGUCAUGUUGGUCUCAUAAAUGAGUGGGCCAAUAAGCACAAUGAAGGAUGCUCAAUACCAUUAGCUAUUAGAUAAAUGCAAAUCAAAAUCAGAUAACAUUUCACACACAUCCAUUUCACACUAGCAUGGCUAGAAUAAAAAGGAUAUAAUAACAAGGGUUGGUUAUGAUAUGGGGAAACUGGAACCUUCAUACAUUGCUAGUGUGGAUAUAAAAUGGUGUAGCUGUUUUGGAAGAAUCUGGCCGUGCCUCAAAACAUUAAACAUAGAGUUAUCAUGACACAGCGAUUCCACUUCUAUGCACACACUCGUAAGAAAUGCAAGCAUCCGUCCGCACAGCACCUGUGGAGCAGCAUUCUCCGUGAGCCAAACAGUGGGAACAACCCAAAUUUCCAUCAACUGAUGAACAGAUAAAUAGAAUUCAGUACAUUCAUACAUUUGAAUUUUAUUUGGCAGUAAAAAGAAAUGAAGUAUGAUAUCUGCUACAACAUGAAUGAAACUUGAGAACACUGUGCUAAGUGAAGGGAACCAGACACGAAAAGCCACGUAUUGUACGACUGCAUUGAUAUGAAACGCCCGUGACAGGCCGCUGUACAGAGACCAGCAGAUUGGUGGUGGCCUGAGGCUGGACGGAAGGGGAAGUAGAGAGAGGCAACGAGCGGCUGCUGAUUGCUAUGGGUUGCUUUUGGGGGGUAAUGAAAGGCUAUAAAAUUGAUUAUGACAACUCUGUCAGUAUACUAAAAAAAUGUCAAACUGUACACUUUAAAUGGUUGAAUUUAUGGUAUGUGAAUUAUAUCUCAGUAAAGCUCUUAAAAUAAUUAAUUGGGACCUGUUCCCUCCUCUUCUAUAUUCUGAGUGAGUUUUCUGUAGAUUUAUUAUUUGUUCCCUAAAUGUUAAAUAGAAUUCAUAUGAAACCAUCUUAUCCUGGAGUUUGCUCUAUUGAAAAGUUUUUAAGUGUGGAUUUCAUUAUUUAAUAGAUAUAGAACUAUUCAAAUUAUCUUUACUUGAAUGACUUUCUUGAGUUUGUGUCAAGCAAUGUGUCCAUCUCAUCUAAGAUGCCCGUCUGCGGACAGUGUCCACACCGUUCCCUGCUGCUCCUCAGUGACUGUAGGGUCUGUGAUGAUUUCCCUUCAUCGGUCCUGAUACUGGUGAUUUGUCUUCAAUUUCUCUCUCUCUCUCUCUCACUGACAAGUCUGUCUAUUCUUCUUUUUUUCCAAGGGCCAGAUUCUGUUUUCAAUGGUUUUUCACUAUUCUCAAUUUAAUUGAUUUAUGCUCUUAUCUUCAUUAUAUUAUUUCUUCUGCUUGUUUUGAGCUUAACCUGCUCUUUUUCUAGUUUCUUAAGCUGAGGUCAUUGAUUUAUCUCUUUUUUAAUACAACUAUUUAAUGCUCUAAAUUUACUGCUAAGCAUUGCAUUAGUUGCCUCCCAUAAAUUUUUGUGUUUAUUUUUAUCCACUUCAAAAUAUGUUUCAGUAUCUCUUAAGCCAUCCUCUUUGACCCAUGGAUUCUUUAGGGCUUUUUAAAAUUAAUUUCCAAAUAUUUGGGAGCUUUUGACAUAAUUCUAUUAUAGUAAAAAAAACAUAUUUUAUAUUAUUUCAAUUCUCUUACAUGUGUUCAGGCUUAUUAAACGAACCAAUAGUCUAUCUUAAACAAUGUUUCCUCUGUAAACAAAAAAAUGUGUAUUCCAUUCUUUGGGAAUACGAUUUUGUAAUGCAAUUUAGUUCAAUUUGGUAAACAGUAGUAUUCAGGUUUUCGGUUUCUUCCUUAUUUUCUAUCUGCCUGUUCUAUCAACCACUGAAAGACUAAUUUUGAAGGGUCCAUCUGUAAUUUGUGUAUUUCUCCUUUCUUGUCUGUCAGUUUUUGUUGCUCAGUUACCAGUUGCAUAUACAGAUAGGAUGGUUAUAUCUUCUUGGUGAAUUGAUCCUUUUAUGCCUAUGCAAUGUCCCUCUUUAUCUUCAGCAAUAUUCCUAUUUUAAAUACUCUAUUUUUUAUAUUAAUAUAACCACUCUGGUUUCUUUUGAUUAAUGUUUGAUAUUUUUGCAUCCACUUAUCUUAUCUAUGUCUUUAUAUUUAAAGUGAGUUUCUGUAUACAGUAUAGUCUGAUGAUCUCUUUUGUGUUAUUGAUGUGUUUAGAUUGUUUACAUUUAGUGUGAUUAUUAAUAUGGUUGUGUUAAAAUCUACAGUGUUGCUAGCUGUUUUCUUUCUAUCCCAUCUAUUUUUUCUUUUCCCUUCCUUUUUGCCUACUGGAUUAAAUGAUGACUAUUUUUGUGGA